rnacentral:lncRNA from 1 species
CCUGAUGAAAAAUCUUUUCGCUGAAAGUCAUAUGGCUAUCGCGGUAUUCUUCAGAUGCCUUGAAAACCUUAACCGCUUGAGCCAUCUCCUCAGCGAAGGCAAGUGAUGCCUUGAAUUUCUCGAUGGAAGAGCACUUGGCAUCUUGAAUGCGCUCCUCGAUCUAUCUCUCCACCUCUUUCUCCCUCUCUAGGGCGAGGGUGAGAUUGGACCCCACCUGCCUGACGUCCCCCUGG